rnacentral:rRNA from 1 species
UGAGUGGCGGACGGGUGAGUAACGCGCGGGCAACCUGCCCUGUACAGGGGGACAACACUUAGAAAUAGGUGCUAAUACCGCAUAACGGGGGGAGCCGCAUGGCACCCCCUGAAAACUCCGGUGGUACAGGAUGGGCCCGCGUCUGAUUAGCUGGUUGGCAGGGUAACGGCCUACCAAGGCGACGAUCAGUAGCCGGCCUGAGAGGGCGGACGGCCACACUGGGACUGAGACACGGCCCAGACUCCUACGGAAGGCAGCAG